UUCCUACUCCGCGAGAUGACAGCACUCAGCCUCUAGCCGGUUCUUCAACUGGACAACUCCUCACCUGCACCCAGAAGGCCUGUUCUUCCCACAAAGAAGCCGAUGAAUGUCGUGACGAGAUGUUCAUGAUAACGGAGGGGGGCACAACUUUCCUCUACCUCUCCAGUGGACGGGCGACUACGGCUUUCGUUUCUUUUUGAAUAAAUUCAAAUUUGAAUCUAGA